CACGUAGGGCGCAAGCGUUGUCCGGAAUUAUUGGGCGUAAAGAGCUCGUAGGCGGUCUGUUACGUCUGCUGUGAAAACCCGGGGCUUAACCCUGGGCUUGCAGUGGAUACGGGCAGACUAGAGGCAGGUAGGGGAGAAUGGAAUUCCCGGUGUAGCGGUGAAAUGCGCAGAUAUCAGGAAGAACACCAACGGCGAAGGCAGCUCGCUGGGACGGUACUGACGCUGAGACGCGAAAGCGUGGGGAGCGAACAGG
rnacentral:rRNA from 1 species